GGUAGUCCACCCCGUAAACGUUGGGAACUAGUUGUGGGGACCAUUCCACGGUUUCCGUGACGCGGCUAACGCAUUAAGUUCCCCGCCUGGGGAGUACGGCCGCAAGGCUAAAACUCAAAGGAAUUGACGGGGACCCGCACAAGCGGCGGAGCAUGCGGAUUAAUUCGAUGCAACGCGAAGAACCUUACCAAGGCUUGACAUACACCAGAACGGGCCAGAAAUGGUCAACUCUUUGGACACUGGUGAACAGGUGGUGCAUGGUUGUCGUCAGCUCGUGUCGUGAGAUGUUGGGUUAAGUCCCGCAACGAGCGCAACCCUCGUUCUAUGUUGCCAGCACGUAAUGGUGGGAACUCAUGGGAUACUGCCGGGGUCAACUCGGAGGAAGGUGGGGAUGACGUCAAAUCAUCAUGCCCCUUAUGUCUUGGGCUUCACGCAUGCUACAAUGGCCGGUACAAAGGGCUGCAAUACCGUGAGGUGGAGCGAAUCCCAAAAAGCCGGUCCCAGUUCGGAUUGAGGUCUGCAACUCGACCUCAUGAAGUCGGAGUCGCUAGUAAUCGCAGAUCAGCAACGCUGCGGUGAAUACGUUCCCGGGUCUUGUACACACCGCCCGUCAAGUCAUGAAAGUCGGUAACACCUGAAGCCGGUGGCCCAACCCUUGUGGAGGGAGCCGUCGAAGGUGGGAUCGGUAAUUAGGACUAAGUCGUAACAAGGUAGCCGUACCGGAAGGUGC
rnacentral:rRNA from 1 species